UGAGCCCCCCCCCCCCGGUGUGUCCUGCGCUCCCCACGAGCGAUUUGCGACCCCUCCCCCUCUGCGGACGGGGACUUCGCGCUUCCGCCCCCUGUGGCUGUGGGACGGGCCUGCCUCAGCGCCAGGCGGGGUAAAGCCUCCCCCACAAAGGAGAAGUCCGGGGAAGCCAGGCACACCAAGGUCCGGCAGAACUGCUGAUUAAGUCACAGGGUAGCUGGUCUCUGUGGACAGACAGAGCCAGGCUCCCCUGGAAAUUCAGCUAAUUAAAGAGGGCUGGGGUACACCUGGGCCUACAAAGGGCUGCUAGUAGGCAUCUGAAGGAAGGACUGAGACAGGCUGAACCCGGCACUAGCAGAGGAAGCUGUACUGGAGUGGAGCUAACUUCUGUGGCAGUCCCUAGAGCAAGAGGCCAGGGAAACAGCCCUGUGGUUGCUGCUCCAAGUGGGGAGUAGAGCUGAGUGAAGCUGGAAAGCUGCCAGGAGCUGGAAUGCCACCAGAGACCCCUGGAAGAGGUGGCCCUGAAGCCUGGGACUAAGAACUGGGUUAAGACACAGUUUUCUGUUCAUUUCCUAACCUCGGUUAUGAAAAAUAAACCUUGACUGAGUCUGGGCAUGGUAGCGUAUGCUUUGGAGCCGGGGAGAAGUGAUGGCCCUGAUGACAUCAACACUAAUCAAUAAUUACCGGUUUGUUGAUACACACAAUGGUCGUGCGUGAGUCCAGUUUCUACUUCUUCAACUCUAUCCAUGCUGUAGAGCUGAGCUGGGCAAUGAUAUCUUCAAAAGGCUGGACACAAUUUCCAAACGAUACCAAGAAAACCUUGAGUGUUAUGGGUUUGGUAAACCUUGUUGAAACUGGUGGUUGUAACAACCAACCUACAUUUGGGAUAAAUAUAAGAUGCCCUUAAGCCCAUUUAUGGAACAAAGUAGCUGAAAUAAUAGGAGCACUGUCCAAACCAAAAACACAGACCCAUGUCGGUGGAGAGGUUUCACUGGGUAAUGUUUUAGGAGAAGUGUGUGUGUGUAUGAGAAAAAUAGGAAGAACACCAGAGAAGCUGAUAGAGAAGCAGCAGAAAUCCAGUGAUACAGCCAUCGGGAACGUAGCCCUGAGAAAAGCCUAGAGAGACCUGUGGAACUAAGUGCUGGCAGGAAAGGGGCUUGGAACACUGGGCAAAGAAGCUGUCACCUGCUGUUUUACUCCUGUUGUGUUAAUGAAAACAGGAGUAUGUACAUUCUUUGUAAAUAGUAUUAUAUCAAAGAAAUACCUUACUCCAAUAUCAACCUCCUAACUCAAACAACAUGCUAGCCUGAAUUGUGGCUAACUGCU